rnacentral:lncRNA from 10 species
AAGAAGGUAAGAAGGCUGCAGCUUCCACCGGGCCUCUUGGGCUGUGUACUCUUGACACUCUUGCUCUGAGAACUAAGCAGGCAUAUUUCAUAUCAAAAUAGUAAAGAACUUCCUUUCCAAAGGCAGGACUUGCUUCUGUGAGGUACUGAGCCACCCGUCCCUGGAGGAAAGCAAGAACAGAGCAGAUCAGAGCCCAGGCAGACAUCUUGGAUGAUGGGGUACAUCUUGCCAUCCAGAGGCAAUGCUGGAGCGGGCAGUUGUCUGCGGGGAGGCCCUGGCUCACUCUGGGCCAAAUAACAGGACUGAUUGCAGCCUGCGAUGAAACAUCCUGUUUCUCCCAACCAGAAACAGGAGAGAAGAGCCCCAGUGAGAGAGUGAAGCAGAUGAAAAGAUAACAUGAAAACCAACCAAGCAACGAACAGACAAACAAAAUAACCCAUUUCAAGUUCUCGGAGCCUGGUCUCAUUUCCAGCCGGAAAUUACUGCUGCAGACUGCAGGGUGCUCCCUGCACUCCCUGUGUAUAUGAUCUAGUGGUUGCUAAUGUC